rnacentral:lncRNA from 1 species
CUCGGAUCUGUGUUUGGGGAAGGCCAGGCUUGCGCUCCUCGCCGGGUUCCGCGAAGGUUAACCUUGGCUGACUUGGCUCGCGAGCAAAGGGCAGCGUCUGAGCUCCCGGCGUUCCAGGAGUGGCCUCUUUUGUAGGAGCACCUGAAAUGCAGCGUCUGGUGCACUAAGCCGUAGCGGCAGCAGCAGCCACAGCGACAGCGCUGGGGCCCUGUGUAGAAGCUCCAUCCCCCUUGUCUUUGUGCUUGCCUGCGUCCCCAGACUCAGAGAUUAUCUUAGAAGACCUAGGACUCCAAAAAUGUUUCCCCUGAAGGACGCUGAAAUGGGAGCCUUUACCUUCUUUGCCUCGGCUCUGCCACAUGAUGUUUGUGGAAGCAAUGGACUUCCUCUCACACCAAAUUCCAUCAAAAUUUUAGGGCGCUUUCAAAUCCUUAAAACCAUCACCCAUCCCAGACUCUGCCAGUAUGUGGAUAUUUCUAGGGGAAAGCAUGAACGACUAGUGGUCGUGGCUGAACAUUGUGAACGUAGUCUGGAAGACUUGCUUCGAGAAAGGAAACCUGUGAGGUACUGUAUAGUAUCAGAACAAUUAAAUGAAAAGCAGAACUUGGCAAACAAAAAGGCAUUUUGUUUAAACUGCAGGGGUUUGGUUUCUUUUGUUACUUGUUUAAUGAUAAAGGUAGGUGCAAAUUUUCACUUGAGAAAAUUUAAUUUACAGAUUACAUAUGAAUUCAACAUUAACAUAGUCCAGUGUUCAUCUUUUGUGAGGUAGGCAUUCUCUGAAAUAUUUCACAAAAAAUUCUUCAAAAGGGGAUAUAUGAAAAUUUGAAACCUUCUUAGUACUAAGCAUUUCACUAGCUGAGAUUAAGAUUAUUUUCCUGGCCAGGCGUGGUGGCUCACGCCUGUAAUGCCAGCACUUUGGGAGGCCGAGGCGGGCGGAUCACAAGGUCAGGAGAUCGAGACCAUCCUGGCUAACACGGUGAAACCCUGUCUCUACUAAAAAUACAAAAAAUUAGCUGGACGUGGUGGUGGGCACCUGUAGUCCCAGCUACUCAGGAGGCUGAGAAAGGAGAAUGGCGUGAACCCAGGAGGCGGAGCUUACGGUGAGCCGAGAUUGCACCACCGCACUCCUGCCUGGGUGACAGAGCGAGAC